CUGGUCGGCCAGGCGGCCGCGUCACCUUCGGGUGCCGAGGAACGUCCGGGCUCCGCAGAGCAAGGUGGUGGAUAACGUCCACCCGGGGUGACCCGCGAGCAAGCGCAACAGAGAGCAGGUCCGCCGACCUCGGUCGGUCAGGAGUGAAACGGUGGUGCAAGAGACCACCAGCGUCGUGUGCGAGCACGGCGGCUAGGCAAGCCUCACCUGGAGCAAGACCAGACAGAAGGCCAUGGGGCUGCUCGUCCCGCCUUCGGGUAGGUCGCUGGAGGCGUACGGCAACGUCCGCCCGAGAGAGAUGGCCGUCCACGACAGAACCCGGCGUAUCGGCCGGCCAGUCCC
rnacentral:RNase_P_RNA from 1 species